CGUCAUUAGCCCACUCAAGCCCAGCUUGGUAUUGGAUCUCGCCCCCCCGGGGACGGAUCUCAAAAUCAGCGGCGGAACAGCUGAUCGUCAAGCGUAGUCAAUUCUAUCCCGCUUCGACCGAUCCAGUUGAUUCCAGCCGGACAACCCCCCAUCUUCUCAGGAUUGACCUCGGAUCAGGUAGGGAUACCCGCUGAACUUAA
rnacentral:misc_RNA from 1 species